UAUAUUUAAUUAUACAGCUUGCAAAGUUGGUGACAAUGAAAAUAGCUUAAGGCAUAUAUUAUUUUUUUUUCCAAUGGUUCUACAUUACUAUAAUAUAGAUCAAUGUAACAUAAAAUAAGUGAUAAAUUCAAUUUUUACAGAUUUUUCACUCAGGGUAUUUUUUUAAUUAUUGGCACAUAUUUUAUUAACAUCUUUUGUUACAGUUUGUUAUAUUUCACGAUCUUUAAAUAAUUGAUAUAAAUUUAUCCUAUUUUCUUUUUACGAAAAAUGCGAUUGUUUCAAACGAUAGCAAAAUUUUUUAUUAACCUAACGAUUCUACCGUUUUUAUAUAUUUUAUAUUUAUAUUUGAUAUUCCUUACAAAUUUCAUAAAUAUUUUCAACGGGACUAUAUAUCUUAUUAAUGUCCUUAAUAACUGGCGUUAAUUUGAUGGAUAUUGAAGAGAUCAAUGAAUCAGAACAGAAUUCUGAUGAGGUUACAUCCCAAUGACUCAUUAAUGUCAUUUAAUUAUCUACAAUAACGACAUUCACAUUGUUUAACAAGAAUGAAAUAUUUAAAUUAAAUUAGUUGAAAUUUAUUGAAAAAAAAUGAUAAAUUUAUAAUAAGUGUUAUGUAACAAAUGCAUUAUUUAUAAUAUCAGAUAUUUUGAAAUUUAA